AGAGUUUGAUCCUGGCUCAGGAUGAACGCUGGCGGCGUGCCUAAUACAUGCAAGUCGAGCGGUAAGGCUUUCACUCUGUAUUUAAUGAGUUGAAUAUAGUGUGAAAGUACACGAGCGGCGGACGGCUGAGUAACGCGUAGGAACGUACCCCCAAAAGUGAGGGGAUAAGCACCGGAAACGGUGUCUAAUACCGCAUGUGAUCUUCGGAUUAAAGCUUUAUGCGCUUUGGGAGCGGCCUGCGUAAGAUUAGUUUGUUGGUGAGGUAAUGGCUCACCAAGACUACGAUCUUUAGCUGGUCUGAGAGGAUGAUCAGCCAGUCUGGGACUGAGACACGGCCCAGACUCCUACGGGAGGCAGCAGUAGGGAAUUUCCACAAUGGACGAAAGUCUGAUGGAGCAACGCCGCGUGCAGGAUGAAGGCCUUCGGGUUGUAAACUGCUUUUAUCUGUGACGAUUAUGACGGUAGCAGAUGAAUAAGGAUCGGCUAACUCCGUG
rnacentral:rRNA from 1 species